rnacentral:rRNA from 1 species
UUUAUAUAAAGUCUGGUCUGCUCACUGAGUUUUAAAGAGCCGCAGUAUUUUGACUGUGCGAAGGUAGCAUAAUAAUUAGUUUCUUUAUUGGGAACUGGUAUGAAUGGUUGGACGAGAAAAUGACUGUCUCUUUCUGAUUUGGUUGAAUUUUACUUUUAAGUUAAAAGGCUUAAAUUUUUUUGAAAGACGAGAAGACCCUAUAGAGUUUUAUUUUUAGAUUUUUAUUAAUUUUAGGUAUUUAAUAUUUUAUGAAUUUUGAAAAUUUGAUUGGGGUGAUUGAAAAAUUGAUUAAACUUUUUUUUUAUUUUUACAAAUUUAAUUGAUUAUGUGAUCCAUAUUUUGUGAUUAUAAGAUUAAAUUACCUUAGGGAUAACAGCGUAAUCUUUCUUGAGAGUUCUUAUCGAUAGAAGGGGUUGCG